GGCAUCGAACUGCUAGCUCUGUACGCUGCUUCAGUGAUGCGGGAGCUUCUGCUCGUGCCUGCUGUGGGUUUCUGUUUUGGUUGCCUGUACGGAACGGUCCCUCUCGCUGUCCCUCUUCCUCUUCUCGCCUUCGUGGUCAGGAGGAGGACGCUGUAGCUGUUCCCGGGUCCCUAUUGAUCCGCACGCUUCGUCGUGCUGUCAAGUUGGUGCGCGGGCUAUGGCUUGAUAUCCCGGAUGCGGAACAUUUAGCGGGCGUGGGGUCUCAGACCUUCCUACGUCCGAGUCGCUCGGAAAAGAAUGAUUGCUGGGSACCGAUGCGGGCUUGCGGCUCGAGAGCCGUGAGUCUCGCGCGGUGCCGGCGUCCCGAAGGAAUGCUACCUGGUU
rnacentral:misc_RNA from 1 species